rnacentral:pre_miRNA from 1 species
AAGUCUCAGUGCAGCUGGAAGUUUUUAUCCGCCUCAAGCAGCACUAAGACUUUU